UUUGUAAGCGAGUUUGAUUUUAGU
rnacentral:miRNA from 1 species